rnacentral:tRNA from 1 species
AAAGAUUUAGUUAAAUAAUAACAUCAAAUUGUCAAAUUGAAAUUAACCCAUCAUUAAUCUUUA